AAGUCGUAACAAGGUUUCCGUAGGUGAAGCUGCGGAAGGAUCAUUAACACGUAUCAAAACUCAAAAAACCCCCCCCGUGACCAUUCAAUCCUGCUCUUGUAACCCGCGUAGUUCGCAAUCUCUGGUAAAUCAUAGCCCGGAAAGUAGUUUUGAUUCAGAGACCUCUGGCUACGUGAGAACAUUGGAACAGUUACAAUCGAGCGGUAGUUUCAUAGGCAUUGUUUCCCCAAGCAGUUAGUGUCUGAAAGUGUCACUGAUUGUGCAAGGAUAGCGCUUCAACGAUUCCUGUAGACCGUACACUCGGGCAGGAGCUAUGCCAAAGGGUCCCCAUGCCCCCUUAUAACCCCACAGUUUAAUGUGAAGCUCAAUGUAAUACAUUGGGUAAAAAAACCGAACAACUGUUAACAAUGGAUAUCUUGGUUCUC
rnacentral:misc_RNA from 1 species